GAUGAACGCUGGCGGCGUGCUUAACACAUGCAAGUCGAACGGUGAACACGGAGCUUGCUCUGUGGGAUCAGUGGCGAACGGGUGAGUAACACGUGAGCAACCUGCCCCUGACUCUGGGAUAAGCGCUGGAAACGGCGUCUAAUACUGGAUAUGUGACGUUACCGCAUGGUCUGCGUUUGGAAAGUUUUUUCGGUUGGGGAUGGGCUCGCGGCCUAUCAGCUUGUUGGUGAGGUAAUGGCUCACCAAGGCGUCGACGGGUAGCCGGCCUGAGAGGGUGACCGGCCACACUGGGAUUGAGACACGGCCCAGACUCCUACGGGAGGCAGCAGUGGGGAAUAUUGCACAAUGGGCGAAAGCCUGAUGCAGCAACGCCGCGUGAGGGAUGACGGCCUUCGGGUUGUAAACCGUUUUUAGCAGGGAAGAAGCGAAAGUGACGGUACCUGCAGAAAAAGCGCCGGCUAACUACGUG
rnacentral:rRNA from 1 species